CUUAAGAUUUAAGCAAAGAGUCUUAGCUGGAUCGAUAGAUCUCGUUCCAAGGAGGACACAGCAACUUUCGUAUCUCAGUUACGAGAGCCAUAUUGUGGGGCAAUUUCCGGUUGAUACAGAAGGAUCUAGGUGACGGUAUUGUUAUGGUUGGAAAGCUGACAUUCCCAGCUUUCUACAGCCACCACGACCACGCAUUUACGAGUGUCACAUAGGGGUUUUGUGAGAAGAUUUCCCGGUGAACCAGAGAGAGUUAGAACCGGU